CGCCUCUUGCAAUCCAUAAGAGGUCCAGCCUGCCCAGUGAUAAAAUUCAACGGCCGCGGUAUCCUAACCGUGCGAAGGUAGCGUAAUCACUUGUUCUUUAAAUGAGGACUAGUAUGAAUGGCACCACGAAGGUUAUACUGUCUCCUCUUUCUAAUCAAUGAAACUGAUCCCCCCGUGAAGAAGCGGGGAUAAAAUUAUAAGACGAGAAGACCCUAUGGAGCUUUAAACUAACGCAACACUAGCAUUAAUACCACUAUAUUCCAGAAUUAUAAAAACCAUUUCAGCUAGCAUGAUUGCUAGUUUUAGGUUGGGGUGACCAUGGAGCAUAAAAUAACCUCCACGCAGAACGGGACCAUUCCUGAGCCAAAAGCUACGACUUUAAGCACUAAUAAAUUAACAUUAAUUGACCCAAUAUAUUGAUCAACGAACCAAGUUACCCUAGGGAUAACAGCGCA
rnacentral:rRNA from 1 species